GGGCCCGCACAAGCGGUGGAGCAUGUGGUUUAAUUCGAUGCAACGCGAAGAACCUUACCUGGUCUUGACAUACUUGGAAGCUCUUGUAAUGAGAGUGUGCCUUUUGGAACCAAGAUACAGGUGCUGCAUGGCUGUCGUCAGCUCGUGUCGUGAGAUGUUCCGUUAAGUCGGAUAACGAGCGCAACCCUUACCCUUAUUUGCCAGCGAUUCGGUCGGGAACUAUAAGGGGACUGCCGGUGAUAAACCGGAGGAAGGUGAGGACGACGUCAAGUCAUCAUGGCCCUUACGAGUAGGGCUACACACGUGCUACAAUGGGGAAUACAGACGGACGCUAAGCCGCGAGGUGGUGCUAAUCCUAAAAAGUUCUUCGUAGUCCGGAUUGGAGUCUGCAACUCGACUCCAUGAAGUCGGAAUCGCUAGUAAUCG
rnacentral:rRNA from 1 species